GUCCUGGCUCAGGAUGAACGCUGGCGGCGUGCUUAACACAUGCAAGUCGAGCGAAGCACUUAGGAAAGAUUCUUCGGAUGAUUUCCUAUUUGACUGAGCGGCGGACGGGUGAAGGUAACGCGUGGGUAACCUGCCUCAUACAGGGGGGAUAACAGUUAGAAAUGACUGCUAAUACCGCAUAAGGCCACAGCACCGCAUGGUGCAGGGGUAAAAACUCCGGUGGUAUGAGAUGGACCCGCGU
rnacentral:rRNA from 1 species